GAGAGAAAGGAAAAGUUUCUCGAGUCUUCAUUAGUUGACUUUCCCGUCCGCAGCUUCCCCCAGCCGGUAGAGCUCACCCCCAAUAAAGGUAGGAGGGGGGAUCUUUAUUUUUUUAAGGUCCCAUAGAGUCCAGUGUUUACAAGACCAGAAAUGCCACUGCCACCUCCUUCUAGAGAGAAAGACUGAAAUGGAGGACCGGCGCCUUCCUUAUAAGCUCAUUGGUGCCUGAACCAGCACCCACCCGCUGGAAAAAGCAACCGCGAAGCCAGAAAGAAAGAGACAGCCAGAGCAGGGAAGAGAGCGCCAUCGGAGAUGAAAGGGAACCACGCCGAGAAAUGCAGGGAAAGGAGCGAGACCAGCAGGUCCCCGGACAAACGUGGCAGAGGGCAAGACAGGCACUCACGGACAGAGGACACGGCAGAAAGAAACGCGGAUUCUUCGAAUUCCAAGCUCCCGGAGUGAUUUCAUAUCCCAAACCAUAGCUGCUCACUCCGACAGAAAUGUGUCCCCGCGGGCGCCGCCCUGCCUCGCGCGCAGCAGCAGCAGCAGCAGCAGCAACUCGCUGCUCGAAGCUCGGCUUCGUCCCGCUUGGCCAGUUCCCCUUCCCCGCCUUAG